rnacentral:rRNA from 1 species
GCAGCCGCGGUAAUACGUAGGGAGCAAGCGUUGUCCGGAUUUACUGGGUGUAAAGGGUGCGUAGGCGGGCCCUCAAGUCAGACGUGAAAGCCAUAGGCUCAACCUGUGAAUUGCGUUUGAAACUGAGGGUCUUGAGUGAAGUAGAGGUAGGCGGAAUUCCCGGUGUAGCGGUGAAAUGCGUAGAGAUCGGGAGGAACACCAGUGGCGAAGGCGGCCUGCUGGGCUUUAACUGACGCUGAGGCACGAAAGCGUGGGUAGCAAACAGGAUUAGAUACCCC